rnacentral:rRNA from 1 species
ACUAAGCGUACACGGUGGAUGCCCUGGCAGUCAGAGGCGAUGAAGGACGUGCUAAUCUGCGAUAAGCGUCGGUAAGGUGAUAUGAACCGUUAUAACCGGCGAUUUCCGAAUGGGGAAACCCAGUGUGAUUCGUCACACUAUCAUUAACUGAAUCCAUAGGUUAAUGAGGCGAACCGGGGGAACUGAAACAUCUAAGUACCCCGAGGAAAAGAAAUCAACCGAGAUUCCCCCAGUAGCGGCGAGCGAACGGGGAGCAGCCCAGAGCCUGAAUCAGUGUGUGUGUUAGUGGAAGCGUCUGGAAAGGCGCGCGAUACAGGGUGACAGCCCCGUACACAAAAAUGCACAUGCUGUGAGCUCGAUGAGUAGGGCGGGACACGUGGUAUCCUGUCUGAAUAUGGGGGGACCAUCCUCCAAGGCUAAAUACUCCUGACUGACCGAUAGUGAACCAGUACCGUGAGGGAAAGGCGAAAAGAACCCCGGCGAGGGGAGUGAAAAAGAACCUGAAACCGUGUACGUACAAGCAGUGGGAGCACGCUUAGGCGUGUGACUGCGUACCUUUUGUAUAAUGGGUCAGCGACUUAUAUUCUGUAGCAAGGUUAACCGAAUAGGGGAGCCGAAGGGAAACCGAGUCUUAACUGGGCGUUAAGUUGCAGGGUAUAGACCCGAAACCCGGUGAUCUAGCCAUGGGCAGGUUGAAGGUUGGGUAACACUAACUGGAGGACCGAACCGACUAAUGUUGAAAAAUUAGCGGAUGACUUGUGGCUGGGGGUGAAAGGCCAAUCAAACCGGGAGAUAGCUGGUUCUCCCCGAAAGCUAUUUAGGUAGCGCCUCGUGAAUUCAUCUCCGGGGGUAGAGCACUGUUUCGGCAAGGGGGUCAUCCCGACUUACCAACCCGAUGCAAACUGCGAAUACCGGAGAAUGUUAUCACGGGAGACACACGGCGGGUGCUAACGUCCGUCGUGAAGAGGGAAACAACCCAGACCGCCAGCUAAGGUCCCAAAGUCAUGGUUAAGUGGGAAACGAUGUGGGAAGGCCCAGACAGCCAGGAUGUUGGCUUAGAAGCAGCCAUCAUUUAAAGAAAGCGUAAUAGCUCACUGGUCGAGUCGGCCUGCGCGGAAGAUGUAACGGGGCUAAACCAUGCACCGAAGCUGCGGCAGCGACGCUUAUGCGUUGUUGGGUAGGGGAGCGUUCUGUAAGCCUGUGAAGGUGUACUGUGAGGUAUGCUGGAGGUAUCAGAAGUGCGAAUGCUGACAUAAGUAACGAUAAAGCGGGUGAAAAGCCCGCUCGCCGGAAGACCAAGGGUUCCUGUCCAACGUUAAUCGGGGCAGGGUGAGUCGACCCCUAAGGCGAGGCCGAAAGGCGUAGUCGAUGGGAAACAGGUUAAUAUUCCUGUACUUGGUGUUACUGCGAAGGGGGGACGGAGAAGGCUAUGUUGGCCGGGCGACGGUUGUCCCGGUUUAAGCGUGUAGGCUGGUUUUCCAGGCAAAUCCGGAAAAUCAAGGCUGAGGCGUGAUGACGAGGCACUACGGUGCUGAAGCAACAAAUGCCCUGCUUCCAGGAAAAGCCUCUAAGCAUCAGGUAACAUCAAAUCGUACCCCAAACCGACACAGGUGGUCAGGUAGAGAAUACCAAGGCGCUUGAGAGAACUCGGGUGAAGGAACUAGGCAAAAUGGUGCCGUAACUUCGGGAGAAGGCACGCUGAUAUGUAGGUGAAGCGACUUGCUCGUGGAGCUGAAAUCAGUCGAAGAUACCAGCUGGCUGCAACUGUUUAUUAAAAACACAGCACUGUGCAAACACGAAAGUGGACGUAUACGGUGUGACGCCUGCCCGGUGCCGGAAGGUUAAUUGAUGGGGUCAGCGCAAGCGAAGCUCUUGAUCGAAGCCCCGGUAAACGGCGGCCGUAACUAUAACGGUCCUAAGGUAGCGAAAUUCCUUGUCGGGUAAGUUCCGACCUGCACGAAUGGCGUAAUGAUGGCCAGGCUGUCUCCACCCGAGACUCAGUGAAAUUGAACUCGCUGUGAAGAUGCAGUGUACCCGCGGCAAGACGGAAAGACCCCGUGAACCUUUACUAUAGCUUGACACUGAACAUUGAGCCUUGAUGUGUAGGAUAGGUGGGAGGCUUUGAAGUGUGGACGCCAGUCUGCAUGGAGCCGACCUUGAAAUACCACCCUUUAAUGUUUGAUGUUCUAACGUUGACCCGUAAUCCGGGUUGCGGACAGUGUCUGGUGGGUAGUUUGACUGGGGCGGUCUCCUCCUAAAGAGUAACGGAGGAGCACGAAGGUUGGCUAAUCCUGGUCGGACAUCAGGAGGUUAGUGCAAUGGCAUAAGCCAGCUUGACUGCGAGCGUGACGGCGCGAGCAGGUGCGAAAGCAGGUCAUAGUGAUCCGGUGGUUCUGAAUGGAAGGGCCAUCGCUCAACGGAUAAAAGGUACUCCGGGGAUAACAGGCUGAUACCGCCCAAGAGUUCAUAUCGACGGCGGUGUUUGGCACCUCGAUGUCGGCUCAUCACAUCCUGGGGCUGAAGUAGGUCCCAAGGGUAUGGCUGUUCGCCAUUUAAAGUGGUACGCGAGCUGGGUUUAGAACGUCGUGAGACAGUUCGGUCCCUAUCUGCCGUGGGCGCUGGAGAACUGAGGGGGGCUGCUCCUAGUACGAGAGGACCGGAGUGGACGCAUCACUGGUGUUCGGGUUGUCAUGCCAAUGGCACUGCCCGGUAGCUAAAUGCGGAAGAGAUAAGUGCUGAAAGCAUCUAAGCACGAAACUUGCCCCGAGAUGAGUUCUCCCUGACCCUUUAAGGGUCCUGAAGGAACGUUGAAGACGACGACGUUGAUAGGCCGGGUGUGUAAGCGCAGCGAUGCGUUGAGCUAACCGGUACUAAUGAACCGUGAGGCUUAACC